rnacentral:tRNA from 1 species
GCACGGAUGGCCGAGUGGAUAAAGCAGUGGACUCCUUACCAUUGUACUUCAAUGGAAUAGGUGAGGUAGGUGGGUUCGAAUCCCGCUUGGGGCA